GCCUGGGUGGCUCAGUUGGUUAAGCAUCUGACUUCAGCUCAGGUCAUGAUCUUGUGGUUUAUGAGUUUGAGCCCCGUGCCAGGCU
rnacentral:tRNA from 1 species